GCGAGCAUUUAAUUAACUCCCUGAUUGGAGCCAGCCAAUUCUUGUUGCUACUAAUGGCUCACAAUUAGAACACACCGUUGCCAUGGCAACUGCCCGGAGCAUCAUCAUCAUCAUCAUCAUCAUCAUCCGCGCCCGCUCUGCGCAAUCCCCGGGCUCUGUGACACGCUCAUGGGCGGUCAUUGUUAUGCUAAACUGGGAAUGGGACCUGCCCAAUUCCAUCGUUCCCCGAAUCUCUGGGAGGGAGCCGUGAGCACCAACGCUAAUCCAGAGCAGCAGGGAAGAGCUCCUCUCUUAAUUAACUAACGCUGCCUUUUCACGGCUGCUCUGAUGCUGGAGAUGUAAAUCAGAGGGAACAAGAGGAAGAUGAGAGCAUAUUGUUCAUCACAUGUUUUGUCCUCCUACUCCCUCUGCGCUCUCUUUAAUAAUCAUCUCCAGAGCAGAGCUGGGAAUGGAGAAGGCUGGAAUCAUCACAGCAAAGAGACCCUCAGUGCCAGCCAUCAGAGGCUUCUGAGGGUCCCUGGGGCACACAGCAGCAGGGUGGGGACAGGGAUGGGGUCAGUGGUGCCGAGCUGAGCCCGUGUUCACAGCACACAGGGGCGCUCCCACAGCAAGGAGAGCUGCUCCAGUCGGUGAGAGCUGCAGCCAGGGCAUUAAUUGAUGGUUAAUUACCUGCAGCCCUGGCCUGUCCCUGUGCUGUGCCUGCUCUGCUGGUGGCACUGCUGGCUGGGGGAGCCCCCCCUCCCCAGGGAAUCGUCUGGAACACGAUUGUGGCCUUGGGCUCUGCCUGCUCAGUGCUUGCAAUUAGAUUUUACUACAAAAGUACAUAUUAACAUUAAAGGAGCAUUACAAUGCAGCAAAUGUGAUAAACCAGAGCAACGCUACCUGUACCUUCUGCUUCUGUUCUUUCAGGAAUCAUAAUCACCGUUAAUUUAUGGUUUUCUGAGGAGGAUCUAAUUACUCCAAUCAGCCCUUCUUUCACUCAGAGAGUGCACGUGUGCUGUUCCCUGCCUUUACAUUGCUGUUCCCUGCCUUUACAUUGCUGUUCCCUGCCUUUACAUACCUGCCUGGCAGAGACACCACACAGAGCUGCGUUUUCAGCCUGAACUCGGGCAGGAGGGAAAUCCUCCAGGCAGGACCAAGCAGAGGGAGGAAUCCCUUUCCCAGGAAAGCCCUGCCUUGGGAAUACAGCACUCUGGCUAAUCUGUUCAUCACCAAAAUGUCUUUGUGUUUUCCAUCACCACCUUGAGGAGCAGAGGCUCCUUCCCAGGCUGUCCCUGUCCUGCCAAACCCCCCAGUUCCCUGUGCUGCACCUGAGUGUGGCACACACACAAAUGUGCCACCAUUUCCUUGCUGGUUUCCUUUCUGUUUCCCAGCCGUGGUGGCAGAGCUGGUGGUGAGCCCCUGAGGGAUGCAGAGAGCACCAGGCCCCAGCCCAGCCAGGAAUAUCCCACAUUUCCAGGAUCUCCUCUCCCCCAGGGGCUCCGAGCCAUCACCCAGCUCUAGCCAGGGCUGCUGGGUCUGUGGGGUCUGCUCAGGGAACAAAGCCCCCCCGAGCACCAGGGGCAGGAAAACAGCUCCAGAACCUGGGAUUCCUGCAGCACUUCAACCACACAGCUGGAAAUCCUGAGCUCCUGCUUUGGGUUAAAGCAGGGCAGCACUGAGACCUGGAAAACCUUUAAAUCUGGCUGGGUUUCACUGGUCACUGCCCCCUUCCCACUGGGGAGGCCAAAUGAAUGCAGGAGGAAAUAAAGGAAAUCUUGCUGAGAACUUUACCCAGAAGUUGUGCUCAAAAAUUUUGUUUAGUUCUACAGAAAUUAGAAUUGAAGCUCUAUAGACACUCAAAGGUUCUCCCGAGGGUUUUUAUACACUUUUCAGCAGUGGUGUCAUGUAACUUGAUAAGAACCUAGGCCAGGAUCAAAAUUCCACUGCUUAUGUCACUUCUAGAUUUCAAAGAACACCGAAUUUCUCCUCAGUUAAAAUGCAGAACUCCAGUGCUCCACAAAUGUGGAUUUUCUUGGAUUCCCUUUGAGGGCGCUUUGAGGAUCUCCAGACCUCGUGGCUCCAGGAUCUGAACUAUGGUGAGGUGAAGCUGCUCCUCAGUUCAGGCUUGACUCAGGACAAUCUAAUGCCAGAUCCUUCAAUUCCAGGCUGUUCUCAGAUUUAAAUUUAAGAACUUCAGCACCUGAACAUGCAGAUAAUGAAGUGAUGGGUGAAGUGAAAGCGCAUCAGUGAGAAAUUCCUGUUACAGAAUGCUCCUUUAAACAAAAGCUGCAGUCCACACUGUCCCUGUGUGAGCCCCAAUCCAUGGCAGACUCAGUCACAUUCCCUGGGAGCCUCAAAGCCUGGUUUUCUCCACAAUCCAACAGUGUAAAACUCCAACAAAUGUUGCAUUAAAUUCUUCAUAACUCCCAAAUUCACAUAUUUAGAGUUGCUAUAGCAACUGUCAGCCCAAGCCUUCCCAAGGGAGAAAAUAAAAGUGUGUCCUACCUGGCUAAUUGGUAUUUGUGUUACAGAGAAUUGAAGGGUAACUUAGUUCCACCAAAAAAUAGAACAGAGACUGAAGUGCUCCUAUGCUAAUGUGACAUUAUUUAAUCUGAACAAGGACCCAUUUUGCAUGUGCCUUCAAAUUAUAGUAUUUAUGGAACACUCAACACAAUAAGUAAAAGUGUUGCUGCCAAAUAUGCCUGACUUGCCCUGCUUAUUGAUUUGAAUAAAAGGGGCAUUGAAAAAAAAAUAGAGAAAUGAGAAGGAAGGUGGAUGAGCUGAUGGGAUCAGGGACUUCAAAUGUCAUUACAAAACCUACAAAAUCCCCCCAGAACCCCAACAGUUUACUACUGAAAGCUCAUGCAGAAAUAAGUUGAUGGAAGGUGACAACUCUUUUCCCUAUUUCAACUUUUCCCUAUUUCUCAUCAUUGAGGGAAGAAUAAAUCUCCCAAGCAGGAGAAGCAGACUGAACAAGAGUCACCCCUCACUCAGAGGCACAGCUGGAACUUUUUAACUUGAAGAAAGCCCUGAAGAUCAUUCAAGAGAAGAAUGCCACUGGCAGGAUAUAUUCAGGAGCACAUGACAGCUCUCACUGGCUUGUAAACACAUCCAGCAAUUAAUCUUAGCACUAUUACUAAACAAAAGCAAUCCGAGCUCUGAGGCAGCAGAACCUCCAUGAGAAGAUAACAAUGAUGGGUCUCUCUCUAUCAGCCCAAUGGCAUCGCUGAGAAAAUGAGA